AUACGAAGGGGGCUAGCGUUGUUCGGAAUUACUGGGCGUAAAGCGCGCGUAGGCGGAUUGGUCAGUUAGGGGUGAAAUCCCAGGGCUUAACCCUGGAACUGCCUCUAAUACUGCCAGUCUUGAGUUCGGGAGAGGUGAGUGGAAUUCCUAGUGUAGAGGUGAAAUUCGUAGAUAUUAGGAAGAACACCAGUGGCGAAGGCGGCUCACAGGCCCGAUACUGACGCUGAGGCGCGAAAGCGUGGGGAGCAAACAGAAUUAGAUACCCUAGUAGUCC
rnacentral:rRNA from 1 species